rnacentral:rRNA from 1 species
UGCCGGGCAUAACCUCGGGAACUGAGAAUAAUGCCCGAUAGAACAUUAUGCCUGGAAUGGUUUAUGUUUCAAAUGAUUUAUCGCCAUAGGAUGGGACUGCGGCCUAUCAGUUUGUUGGUGAGGUAAUGGCCCACCAAGACUAUUACAGGUACGGGCUCUGAGAGGAGUAGCCCGGAGAUGGGUACUGAGACACGGACCCAGGCCCUAUGGGGCGCAGCAGGCGAGAAAACUUUGCUAUGUGCGAAAGCACGACAAGGUUAAUCCGAGUGGUUUCUGCUAAAGAAACCUUUUGUCAGUCCUAGAAACACUGACGAAUAAGGGGUGGGCAAGUUCUGGUGUCAGCCGCCGCGGUAAAACCAGCACCUCAAGUGGUCAGGAUGAUUAUUGGGCCUAAAGCAUCCGUAGCUCGUUUUGUAAGUUUUCGGUUAAAUCCAUGCGCUUAACGUAUGGGCUGCCGGGAAUACUGCAUAACUAGGAAGUGGGAGAGGUAGACGGUACUCGGUAGGAAGGGGUAAAAUCCUUUGAUCUAUUGAUGACCACCUGUGGCGAAGGCGGUCUACCAGAACACGUUCGACGGUGAGGGAUGAAAGCUGGGGGAGCAAACCGGAUUAGAUACCCGGGUAGUCCCAGCUGUAAACUAUGCAAACUCAGUGAUGCAUUGGCUUGUGGCCAAUGCAGUGCUGCAGGGAAGCCGUUAAGUUUGCCGCCUGGGAAGUACGUACGCAAGUAUGAAACUUAAAGGAAUUGGCGGGGGAGCAC